rnacentral:rRNA from 2 species
CUUUAUUGGAGAGUUUGAUCCUGGCUCAGGACGAACGCUGGCGGCGUGCCUAAUACAUGCAAGU